UUUUUGUUUCAUAAGGUACUAUUGAAAGCCAUAAGUCUGCCUUAUGAAAUGCAUAGUUUUUUCUUGCGUAAAAUAAUCAUAAGGCAUUCUUAUGAACAAACCUUGUUCAUUUCAGCGUUCACCCUGACAGUUGUCAAAAAUGCGCGUUUAUCGUUAUCGUUCGACCUGGAACUGAGAACUUUGAAGUAAAAUGAAAAAGUGUGCUGCUGCAAAUUCCAUUAAUUAAAAACAGAAUACAGCCUAAUCAAUCGUAUGAGAUGCAAGGCCUUUAUGGGCACUAUCUACGAUGGAGACGAUGAGCAAACGGAAGUCGAACUGCUACUUACUCCUGUCGGGAAUAUGCAGGGAAAAAGGACAAUGAAAGCUGAUCCGGGUAAAAGCGCUGUGAAAAGUCCAAUUUGCAGGAUUUUUUUCCAGCAUCGAUGCUGAGCAGUCAGACUUGUUAAAUGAUUGCCGGAUCAAGAUUGGCGAUAAACGGUUGGAUGGGAGUUACUUUUCCGGUCCAUAAUAAUCCUGCAGUCCUUCUGGAAGUGGCAUUGGUUCGGCAUUGGAACUCCCGCAAGGAAAAGGCAGCAAAAGUCCUCAGCAAAUGAUGCGGUGGCGGCGGUUUUAUGCGGUCCUGUUCCUCUGAUAAGAGCGACUGGACCAUAGCCGAUUUAAUCGGUGGCGUUCAAGCUCCUCUCGGCGGCCAACAUCACACGACGCAAAAUUCCGGUGGUGCCUUCGGGUAUUGUUGUGCCGAGUAAUCGAGGGGGCCCUUCAUUGGCCUAGCCAGUUAGGGCAUUGAACGCCGGCAGUCGAAGCAGGGCCGUCGGGUAAGAUUUGUAUAAUCAAUUAUUUGCUUGUUUUUGUAGGUCUGAUGGAAGCGCCUUGAUGUGAUGAUAGAGCGAGGGUGGUAUGACAUAUGGUCGAAAAAUC